rnacentral:misc_RNA from 1 species
GAAAUGCGAUAAGUAAUGUGAAUUCAGAAUUCAGUGAAUCAUCGAAUCUUUGAACGCACAUUGCGCCCGCCAGUAUUCUGGCGGGCAUGCCUGUUCGAGCGUCAUUUCAACCAUCAAGCCCCCGGCUUGUGUUGGGGACCUGCGGCUGCCCGCAGGCCCUGAAAAACAGUGGCGGGCUCGCUGUCACACCGAGCGUAGUAGCAUACAUUCUCGCUCAGGGCGUGCUGCGGGUUCCGGCCGUUAAACGACCUUCAUAACCCAAGGUUGACCUCGGAUCAGGUAGGAAGACCCGCUGAACUUAAGC